CUUAAAACUAAAAGGGCCUUGAGAUAACGAAAAUGACGAAAAUCACUUCUUGUUCCUCAGUUGCUAUCUGCUUCUACCCAUUUCCACGGCUUUCCUGAAAUGUAUCUUAAAACUCAUUCCCCUUUUCUUCAUAAGCUCAAGCAUUCAGCUCGGUAUCUUUUUACACAAAGUUAUGGUUUGGCCAUGAAA